CACAGAGGUCCGAAAUCGGAUCGCGAUUAUGAAUCGCGAUCCGAUUUGGAUCGUAUUUGAACGUAAACUGAAAUACUCGGGACUUUUCUGGAAAAUGGUCGCUGCAACUUUGCCCCCCCUCGUGCUCCGGCUACACUCACGUCGCCCCUCCACCGGAAACAGGUGCCGCGCGGCGGCGGCCCCAAAUUCCAAGCCUCCCCUGAACACUCUUCCCUCCCCAACCCAAUCCACCCCACGCCAUGGCCCUUUCCCUCCGCCUCCUCCCGCUCUUCCUCCGCCGCGGCGCCCCCGCCGCCCGCGUCCUUUCCACGGCUGCCGCUCCCGCAGCGGCCGCGGUGGCCUCGGAGGAGGAGGAAUCCAUCCAGAGUGCGCAUCUCGGGCCGCCCGCUGUACAUGGACUUGCAGGCGACGAUCCCCGUGGAGUCGAGCGUGCUAAACGCCCUGCUCCCCUUCUACCUCUCCCGCUACGGGAACCCGCACUCCCGCAGGAUGGGACCUUUUCUAUUAGCUUGAGUUGAUUGGAUGGAGGCCUGCAGCAACUUUGAUAGACUGGCUUCAUUUCACUGUAUCUUUUGUUACAAUAAUUUUACUACUAAAAUGGUAAUACUGCAACAACAAUAGCACAAUCUGACAUAUGCUUUUCGGCAAUCUAGUGGAUUAGUUUCCCCAAAUGACAAUAUUAAUACUGCAACAACUUCAUGUAGUUUGGAUACUCUGGGAUACGGGAGAGACAUGGAUUUGCAAGGAAUAGGAUAUGGUCCCUAUAUGAUUAGCAUUGACCAAUAUGUCAUAAUGAUAAUGGCAGGAGAGCAUGUGCUAUCCUUCUAAUGACCUCAUUUGCUGGUCACUUUGGUAGCAUUUCCUUUUGGCUGGGAGGAAAAUUUCUGUUAAUUAUUGCAUCACUGAGAUAACUGAAGUUGAAUAUUUCUUUUGAUAUAUUCUUGAAGCAAACUUUUGACAAUAUUUUGCUGGCAUGUGUUUAAAAGAUCAUAUGCUGGAAAUAACCUGAACUGUAUUUUAGUGACAUUGUUUGGAAGGAGGGUCCUGGAAAUGCGCCAAUGAUCGCCCCAUCAUUUAUUCCAUUAUGGCAUCUUUAAUUGAGAAAAGAUAUCUGAACAAGGCUGUUGUUGAUCUAAUUCCAAAAUAAGAGCAAGUAUUUCUAUGAUGAACAUGACCAACACCAAACAACUUGUUUGAUCUGACAUAUAAUCAUUUGAAAGUAGCGUUGUCAAUGCUAUAAGAUCAGAAGGCCUGCUUCUUUUAAUGGAUCCAAAUGCCUUUUCGUGAUUAAUUAGCAAAAUACAAAGUGGAGUAUCUGUGUAUCAGAAAUACUGUUAAUAACAACAUAUUUGUAAUUUGUACUCCUUUCAUGUGAAUCUUCUCAUAUAUGAUUAUAGUUUGGCUGCAGAUUUGAAUCCUUCUGAGGUCACUUUGAAAGAUGGGGAUAUCUCAUUAGUAUCGUGCAUCUGAAAUGUCAAUGAUUUUCAAUGAAAGAUCAUGUGUGACCAUCUCCAAUGCAUCCAACAUCCAUCAUUCUGCAGGGGAUGCCGAGGACAUUUGUUGCUGAAAGGUGUUUCAUGAUGGCAUGGUGGAAGUGUCUUGCGAUAAGUAUGAGACUAAACAAGGGGAAGGUUGCGUCCAAGCAAGGAUGAUGAAAGCAUAUAGGAACAUCACGCGAAGAGUACUAAGCGUGACAAGACGGGAAUCGCAUCAUCUGCCAUUGUACCCUAUGUCUCAGUUCAUGGUGUGGAGAAUGUGGCGCAAAGUUCCUCAAGAUGGUGCGUUGGCUGCAGCUCGGGAUCGCAUCUCUACUCAUGACAAUAAUGGCGAUCAAAUGAGGUUGUUACCUGGGGUGUUUGAGGGCGUUUUGGAAAGCAUUGUACUCUUUUAGGUAGGAUAGUUCAUGGGAAAAUGUGCAAGUCCUUCAGAAUAAUGAUUAGCUUUCCUACUUUCUAACAUUUGGACGUGUAGCUGUGGGCUAUACUGGAUGAAUGCGAUGACUGGGAAGUGUUCCACUA